rnacentral:misc_RNA from 1 species
GUUCUGCUGCAAGGUAUCUAUGCAAUCUGAUCAGUGAUCACCAGGGAGGGUCUUGAUGAUAUCAGAAUCACCUGGGUCAAUUAUGCUCAGGCAAGAGACACGGAAAUACUUGCCACAAGCAGUUCCCAAGUCGAUAUUGUCUGGAAUACCAGAAUCAGUUUCAAAGUCAUGAGAAUUCAAAAAGAAAGCUAUUUAUACAACAUGCGGAAAAUUCACAAUAGGCUUGCCAUUCUUGAAGGUUCAAAAUCCAGUUAAAAUAAUUCAGGCUCUGCACAACAAAUAUGCAGAACCUAGAUGACAGCACUAACAAAUGAGGUACAAAUUCGACACAAAAUGCAAUCAUGCGGAGAAAUCAAAAGGCUAUGAAACAGGAUCCAUAAUAAACAAUCUCCUACCACUACAGCUAGAUGUUCCCAAACAUAGAUUUUACAGGUUCUGAAGUCACAGAGGUCAGUAGGGUCAACACUACAAUGCUUUUGCUGAAUUACGCAGCUUUGAUAGCUAACAAAAUAUUUUAUGCUAAAAUUUAACAGUGGAGUCAUAAAAUCAACUGAACCGGGGUUUGUUACUUUUAUUAGGGUGAAGAUGAUCCUCAGGAAUCAAGAAUCACCAAAAGGAAUAAGAUAAAUUUCAGCUUUAAUAAUUUUCAUAUGGGUGCACUUCAAAAAGAGACAAGAAUAACCAUUAUAUACCUAUUGUUCAGUUAGGAAAGGACUGAAGGAGAUCCUUAGCAGAUGUUAUAGUUACAAAAGAACAUUUUUCAUUGGGUUUCUUUUAGCAAGAGAUUAUAAAUUUCUGUUUGAUAUGGUGUGCAAUCAUUUUCAUGGUUUAAUAACAACAAACUCCAAUUUAGAUGCAUUAUUUUAUGUUUUGAAGUGGUUUCUAGGCUUCAAAUUAAUUUGAAAAACAAUGAGUUGUACCCUUAGCUGAAAGUUUUGGUAGGAAGCAUUUGAAACAUAUAUUGGUUUGCAAGAUGCAAUGAACUUUCUAUUUAGUAUAUGAUGAUCCCUUGUGAAUAGACUUUAACACAAGGCACAUCAGCAAGUCUAGAAACCUACUGUCAUGAUUUAUCUCAAAUAGAUACCAGCAGAUAAGAUUAAAUAGAGAACCUCAGACAGGGCUUUUAUGUAUCCUGUCUGAACAAUUAAUUAUAUUCAAUCAAUUGUCUGCUGAUUACUAUAGAUGCAUACAACUAUCACAACUAAAACCAUAGCUACUAUCAAUUGAACAUAAUUAAUAAUAUACAAAUAAUGAUAAUCAAUCAAUAGAAUUAACAGAACUGAUCAUAUAUGGAUGCAGUGUUCAUAUUCAUAUCCACAACAACAAAAAAAAAUAAUAAUUCUUUCAUCAAAUGUUGGAAUAACAAAUCUAGAGCUAAAAGGGUGACCUAGCACACGAAAACAUCCCACCCUUACUAGCUCUAGACAGGGUUCAUGUAUGCAACCUUAUACCUGGCUUUUUCCAUAACACAAACCAGUGACCUCCAGGUUACAAAUUAAACUAACUUUCCAAUUGCACCAAAGCCACCCACAAUUGAAC